GGCCUGGUGGUGUACUGCAACACAUCCUCUAGAGGUGCGGCACUCAGCAUUCCAAACAGUUUCGAGGAAGUCCCCCGUUCGACCCGGGGCCAGGCCA